UACAUGGGGUGCAAACGUUGCUCGGAAUUAUUGGGCGUAAAGCGCACGUAGGCGGUCCGUUAAGUCGGAUGUGAAAGCCCCCGGCUCAACCGGGGAAGUGCAUCCGAAACUGGCAGGCUAGAGUACGAAAGAGGGUCGCGGAAUUCCCGGUGUAGAGGUGAAAUUCGUAGAUAUCGGGAGGAACACCGGUGGCGAAGGCGGCGACCUGGGUCGAUACUGACGCUGAGGAGCGAAAGCGUGGGGAGCGAACAGG
rnacentral:rRNA from 1 species